rnacentral:rRNA from 1 species
GGAGUAUGAACCGUAUCUCAGUUCCAUUGUGGCUGUUCAUCCUCUCAGACCAGCUACUGAUCGUCGCCUUGGUGGGCUUUUACCUCACCAACCAGCUAAUCAGACGCGGGUCCAUCCUAUAGCGAUAAAUCUUUGACCCCUGUACGAUGCCGUACUGUGGUCUUAUGUGGUAUUAUCAGUCAUUUCUAACUGCUAUCCCACUCUAUAGGGCAGGGUUACCCACGCGUUACUCACCCGUCCGCCACUAAGUUUAGAAUCACUAGGUUUCAUCUAAACUCCGUUCGACUUGCAUGUGUUAGGCACGCCGCCAGCGUUCAUC